rnacentral:rRNA from 1 species
GUGUCAGCAGCCGCGGUAAUACGUAGGUGGCAAGCGUUGUCCGGAAUUACUGGGCGUAAAGGGUGCGCAGGCGGACAUUUAAGUGAGAUGUGAAAGACCCGGGCUUAACUUGGGCAGUGCAUUUCAAACUGGAUGUCUGGAGUGCAGGAGAGGAGAACGGAAUUCCUAGUGUAGCGGUGAAAUGCGUAGAUAUUAGGAAGAAAACCAGUGGCGAAGGCGGUUUUCUUGACUGUAACUGACGCUGAGGCACGAAAGCGUGGGUAGCAAAAAGGAUUAGAUACCCUGGUAGUCCACGCCGUAAACGAUGAGUACUAGGUGUAGGAGGUAGC